GGUUAAGCGACUAAGCGUACACGGUGGAUGCCCUGGCAGUCAGAGGCGAUGAAGGACGUGCUAAUCUGCGAAAAGCGUCGGUAAGGUGAUAUGAACCGUUACAGCCGGCGAUGUCCGAAUGGGGAAACCCAGUGCAAUUCGUUGCACUAUCGUUUGAUGAAUACAUAGUCAAACGAGGCGAACCGGGGGAACUGAAACAUCUAAGUACCCCGAGGAAAAGAAAUCAACCGAGAUUCCCCCAGUAGCGGCGAGCGAACGGGGAGCAGCCCGGAGUCUGAAUCAGCUUGUGUGUUAGUGGAAGCGUCUGGAAAGUCGCAGGGUACAGGGUGAUACUCCCGUACACUAAAACACACAGGUUGUGAACUCGAAGAGUAGGGCGGGACACGUGGUAUCCUGUCUGAAUAUGGGGGGACCAUCCUCCAAGGCUAAAUACUCCUGACUGACCGAUAGUGAACCAGUACCGUGAGGGAAAGGCGAAAAGAACCCCGGCGAGGGGAGUGAAAAAGAACCUGAAACCGUGUACGUACAAGCAGUAGGAGCCCAGUAGUUGGGUGACUGCGUACCUUUUGUAUAAUGGGUCAGCGACUUAUAUUCUGUAGCAAGGUUAACCGUAUAGGGGAGCCGCAGGGAAACCGAGUCUUAACUGGGCGUUAAGUUGCAGGGUAUAGACCCGAAACCCGGUGAUCUAGCCAUGGGCAGGUUGAAGGUUGGGUAACACUAACUGGAGGACCGAACCGACUAAUGUUGAAAAAUUAGCGGAUGACUUGUGGCUGGGGGUGAAAGGCCAAUCAAACCGGGAGAUAGCUGGUUCUCCCCGAAAGCUAUUUAGGUAGCGCCUCGUGAACUCAUCUUCGGGGGUAGAGCACUGUUUCGGCUAGGGGGUCAUCCCGACUUACCAACCCGAUGCAAACUACGAAUACCGAAGAAUGUUAUCACGGGAGACACACGGCGGGUGCUAACGUCCGUCGUGAAGAGGGAAACAACCCAGACCGCCAGCUAAGGUCCCAAAGUCAUGGUUAAGUGGGAAACGAUGUGGGAAGGCCCAGACAGCCAGGAUGUUGGCUUAGAAGCAGCCAUCAUUUAAAGAAAGCGUAAUAGCUCACUGGUCGAGUCGGCCUGCGCGGAAGAUGUAACGGGGCUAAACCAUGCACCGAAGCUGCGGCAGCGACACUAUGUGUUGUUGGGUAGGGGAGCGUUCUGUAAGCCGUUGAAGGUGGCCUGUGAGGGUUGCUGGAGGUAUCAGAAGUGCGAAUGCUGACAUAAGUAACGAUAAUGCGGGUGAAAAACCCGCACGCCGGAAGACCAAGGGUUCCUGUCCAACGUUAAUCGGGGCAGGGUGAGUCGACCCCUAAGGCGAGGCCGAAAGGCGUAGUCGAUGGGAAACAGGUUAAUAUUCCUGUACUUGGUGUUACUGCGAAGGGGGGACGGAGAAGGCUAUGUUGGCCGGGCGACGGUUGUCCCGGUUUAAGCAUGUAGGCGGAUGUUCCAGGUAAAUCCGGAACGUCACUAACGCUGAGGUGUGAUGACGAGGCACUACGGUGCUGAAGUGACAAAUGCCCUGCUUCCAGGAAAAGCCUCUAAGCAUCAGGUAACAUCAAAUCGUACCCCAAACCGACACAGGUGGUCAGGUAGAGAAUACCAAGGCGCUUGAGAGAACUCGGGUGAAGGAACUAGGCAAAAUGGUGCCGUAACUUCGGGAGAAGGCACGCUGAUGGUAAGUGAAGUGACUUGCUCAUGGAGCUGAAAUCAGUCGAAGAUACCAGCUGGCUGCAACUGUUUAUUAAAAACACAGCACUGUGCAAACACGAAAGUGGACGUAUACGGUGUGACGCCUGCCCGGUGCCGGAAGGUUAAUUGAUGGGGUUAUCCUCACGGAGAAGCUCUUGAUCGAAGCCCCGGUAAACGGCGGCCGUAACUAUAACGGUCCUAAGGUAGCGAAAUUCCUUGUCGGGUAAGUUCCGACCUGCACGAAUGGCGUAAUGAUGGCCAGGCUGUCUCCACCCGAGACUCAGUGAAAUUGAACUCGCUGUGAAGAUGCAGUGUACCCGCGGCAAGACGGAAAGACCCCGUGAACCUUUACUAUAGCUUGACACUGAACACUGGUCCUUGAUGUGUAGGAUAGGUGGGAGGCUUUGAAGUGUGGACGCCAGUCUGCAUGGAGCCGUCCUUGAAAUACCACCCUUUAAUGGCUGGUGUUCUAACGUGGGCCCCUAAUCGGGGUUGCGGACAGUGUCUGGUGGGUAGUUUGACUGGGGCGGUCUCCUCCUAAAGAGUAACGGAGGAGCACGAAGGUCAGCUAAUCCUGGUCGGACAUCAGGAGGUUAGUGCAAUGGCAUAAGCUGGCUUGACUGCGAGCGUGACGGCGCGAGCAGGUGCGAAAGCAGGUCAUAGUGAUCCGGUGGUUCUGAAUGGAAGGGCCAUCGCUCAACGGAUAAAAGGUACUCCGGGGAUAACAGGCUGAUACCGCCCAAGAGUUCAUAUCGACGGCGGUGUUUGGCACCUCGAUGUCGGCUCAUCACAUCCUGGGGCUGAAGUAGGUCCCAAGGGUAUGGCUGUUCGCCAUUUAAAGUGGUACGCGAGCUGGGUUUAGAACGUCGUGAGACAGUUCGGUCCCUAUCUGCCGUGGGCGCUGGAGAAUUGAGGGGGGCUGCUCCUAGUACGAGAGGACCGGAGUGGACGCAUCACUGGUGUUCGGGUUGUCAUGCCAAUGGCAUUGCCCGGUAGCUAAAUGCGGAAGAGAUAAGUGCUGAAAGCAUCUAAGCACGAAACUUGCCCCGAGAUGAGUUCUCCCUGACUCCUUGAGAGUCCUGAAGGAACGUUGAAGACGACGACGUUGAUAGGCCGGGUGUGUAAGCGCAGCGAUGCGUUGAGCUAACCGGUACUAAUGAACCGUGAGGCUUAACCUU
rnacentral:rRNA from 1 species